AAAAAGUUUCAACGUGCAGCUGGAUAGAAUUUAGCUAAUGAUAACAGUUAGGUAAGUAGCUGACAGCAUGAUGGAUAUUAGAAAUUGGCCAGGGCACACCGGCAGCAUCAGAUCAAAGUGGCGGGGAGGGAGAGAAAUCUGCUCCAGAGGCCAAGGCCAAUUGUGUGGAAAAACUACUACGCGAGUUUGAGUUUUUCAGCAUUCUGGAUGCUGUACUGGGAGAAAUGUCAGCAAGAUUUAACGAAUGAAAGGGCCUACUUGUUGAGGCCCCGUGUGCCUUACACCCAGAGAAUGAAGCCUUUAUGGAUGUGGAAAAGGUGAAACCACUGCUGGACUUGGUGGAAGCUGAGUUUACUGUCAGAUGCCAGUUUCUACAGACUGAAAUCGCCCGAUCUGGAAAAAGAAAAAUGGACUACACAGAGUUUUUUAGAUACAAACUCCGGGCCUCUAACAGCAACGCCUACUGUGAUGAUGGCAUUGAAACUGGGAUUAACAUUUGGAAUAUCCACGGCAAUUUGCGAGAACUCUUUUUCAACAUUGAAAAGCGUAUUCUGUGAGCACAGAGCAUGUUGCACAGGAGAAAAGCGUAGAUCAUUCAACUGGCAUUUGAGUGGGAUCUUACAAGCAAAUUCCGUGGGUGGAGCGAGAGACUGCUGAGGAGGUUCAACACAGCAUCAAGGCGCAGAAACUCUUGAAUCUGGACUCUUCAGGAGGGCCACUAUGCUCCAGAUCUGACCCAUCACACGACUCUUCAGGAGGGCCACUAUGCUCCAGAUCUGACCCAUCACACGACUCUUCAGGAGGGCCACUAUGCUCCAGAUCUGACCCAUCACGACUCUUCAGGAGGGCCACUACGCCCCAGAUCGACUUCUGUGCUCGGAGGUCCUUGAUGAGGACCUACCCAAUCACACCACUCUUAUAAUAAAACACAAUGGGUCUUUAUAUACUCUUUGUCCCUGUCUGUGGGUGAAUUAUGAAACAAUUAAUGUAUACAGGUGUACAAAAAAUGGUGACGUCGAUUUGUUUCUGCUAUUGCUUGAUCUAUUUUAAAAUGUAAGAAUAUGUUGCAGAUCUAAACUUCCAUUGUUGACUAUGGAAACACAAAUGUAAUGAACACCGUUUUCAAUUUCCAACUUUAUUCUCUGCAAUAUUUCUUUUUACAGUAGCUAAUAAGCUGUAGUCAUGUGGUCAUUACCAGGUUAUGACGGUAUUAACUAUGACCAGUAGGCUACAUAAUAUAUGACCAACUGGUCGUAUUGUCAUCAGACAAAUGCGUAAAAACAACAUCCUUUUCCAACCAGAAUGAGCAGGCAUAAAAAUAUGUCAUACUGACGUCUUUUCAACCAGGUUUUGCCCACUGGGCAGGUGUUCAAAAACGCAUCAGACCGAGACCCUAAUGUUGAAUUCUUAAGCAGUUCUUUGAGUUUUAGUUGUUAUAAAAUGAUCUCCCCGCAAAAGCGACAGUUAAAAACAGUUUGAUUGCAACAGCAGGGAGUGGUGAUUUUAAAAACAGCAGUUCUGCAACAUCUUUAAUUGAGCCUCUCAUUCUCCUUAAUUACCGGCUUCAAAACGUUCCGGAAAGAGUAACUGUACAGGAAGCUGUGUAGGAUACUGGACAACAGUUCUGGGGGGGGGCUCAAACUAAAAAAGUGGUUUGCGAUUUUAUUAAUACUGGUGAUCCUGUGUUUGAGUUGUGUGGUAGCAAUAUCAACAGUCUUAUCUCUGGUAUAUCUUGGCAUACAUCAUUCAAGACAAAGUUUAAAUUGUGUGCAGCGUAAUGGACAUAUAAUGUACAAUGUCUCAGAAGCUCAGGGGAGUCUCAAGUUGGACUAAAAUUUACCUUGAUUGCAGCCCAUUUCUGUCAGCUAUUAGCCAGACAACCUGCUGAGUUCAACGCUAAAUGUAUGCCAAGCCAAGGAUUUGUCCUCAUUGUUAGGCUUUUUGAUGUGUAAUUUGUAUAAAUCCUGUAUAUAGGUAUAGAUAGUAGGCUACACUGCAUAAUGAAACAAUGUAAGCUAGU